GUUAAAAAGCUCGUAGUAGGAGUUCAGAGUGAGCUCAGCCGGUCGGCCUAAUGGGUCAGAACUGGUUGACUCUCUCUUGUUUGUGGAUCCCUCCGGAGUUAACUCUUCGGAUGUGGAGUCCACAUCGUUUACCUUGAAAAAAUUAGAGUGUUCAAAGCAGGCGUUUGCUUGAAUAUAUUAGCAUGGAAUAAUGGAAUAGGACGCUGGUUCUAUUUUGUUGGUUUUGAGAACCAGAGUAAUGAUUAAUAGGGACAGUUGGGGGCAUUCAUAUUUCAUUGUCAGAGGUGAAAUUCUUGGAUUUAUGAAAGAUGAACUUCUGCGAAAGCAUUUGCCAAGGAUGUUUUCAUUAAUCAAGAACGAAAGUUAGGGGAUCGAAGACGAUCAGAUACCGUCGUAGUCUUAACCAUAAACUAUGCCGACUAGGGAUUGGGCGUUGUUUGUUCAUUGACCCGCUCAGCACCUUACGAGAAAUCAAAGUCUUUGGGUUCCGGGGGGAGUAUGGUCGCA
rnacentral:rRNA from 1 species